CCCCUAGACAUUCUAGGCCGCACGCGCGCUACAAUGACAUGUUCAACAAGUUUUUUUCCUAGUCUGGCAAGAUUUGGGUAAUCUUUUUAGUACAUGUCGUGCUUUGGGAUAGUCUUUUGCAAUUAUAAGACUUAAACUAGGAAUACCUAGUAUAGGUAAGUCAUCAGCUUGCCUAGAUUAUGUCCCUGCCCUUUGUACACACCGCCCGUCGCUCCUACCGAUUUUGAGUGCUUAGGUGAAUUUUUUGGAUCAGGUGUUCUUCAAGAACAUUCCGAGAAGAUAAGUAAAUCAUUAUCACUUAGAGGAAGGAGAAGUCGUAACA
rnacentral:rRNA from 1 species